rnacentral:rRNA from 1 species
CCUACGGGUGGCAGCAGUGAGGAAUAUUGGUCAAUGGGCGAGAGCCUGAACCAGCCAAGUAGCGUGAAGGAUGAAUGCCCUACGGUUUGUAAACUUCUUUUAUAAAGGAAUAAAGUGAGGCACGUGUGCCUUUUUGUAUGUACUAUAUGAAUAAGCAUCGGCUAACUCCGUGCCAGCAGCCGCGGUAAUACGGAGGAUGCGAGCGUUAUCCGGAUUUAUUGGGUUUAAAGGGUGCGUAGGUGGGUAAUUAAGUCAGCGGUGAAAGUUUGUGGCUCAACCAUAAAAUUGCAGUUGAAACUGGCUGUCUUGAGUACAGUUGAGGUAGGCGGAAUGCGUGGUGUAGCGGUGAAAUGCAUAGAUAUCACGCAGAACUCCGAUUGCGAAGGCAGCUUACUAAACUGUCACUGACAUUGAUGCACGAAAGCGUGGGUAUCAAACAGGAUUAGAUACCCUUGUAGUC